CUGUUGCAGCUGUUGUCUUCACUUGGUAUUUGCUCCAGCUACUUCCAGUCCAUUGCUGCUGCUGCUGCUCUUCCAGUCCAUUGCUGCUGCUGCUAGAUCUCGGUUGUUGCAGCUGAUUUCUUCACUUGCUCUUUGCUCCAGCUACGCGUGCUUCUGCAAUCUGCUCUUCCACUCGCUUGCUGCAACCACGUACUGGUAUAUUUCUUUCUUUUUUUCUAUUUGGUUGAAUUUUGAGUGUAAUUCGAAUUUGUUUAGCUUGGACCCAUAUCAUGUUCAAUUCGGCAAAUUGGAUGUUGCUAUGUUCAAUUAGUUUUCUAGCCAAAUUAAUUGGGUGUAGUUUUUUAUUAUCUUGUGUAUUGGUGUUUGCUCUGGUUUUAUUUCGUUGGAUGUACCCAUCUUUGAUAAUGGACAAUAUAUCCAGUAAUUGAAGCCUAGCACUUAUUAUCCAUGGAGCAAGUUACUUCGACUAGCUUAUUGAGCCUUAUCUUUAUUUCAUAUUUGAAAUUGAAAUUCAUUUGGCAAUUGCCUAAUGUUGUGGGCCCAAGUGUAGCCCCACAGAAAGAUUCAAGAGGCCAACAAAGGGACUGAUCAGUCGAUAAUUGGGAGAAAAUUAACUACAGCUUCAUGGAAAAAUCAGAAAUUCUUUUAAGAUGUUAUUGAAUUAUUUUGAGUUGUUGGAAUUUUUGCUUUAUAGAACUUGAUAGGUAUAGAUAUUCAGAGACUUGUUUGUGAAAUACAAGAUUUUGUAUUGGAAGGUUGCACCCAACAUAUACAAUUGAACUUGGUGUAACUUUCUGGUGAAUUUUGGCAGCUUCCAGUCCUUCUGAGUUUGAAUUUCCUCUUGAAUAUAUCGAUCUGCAUUUUAUUGACAUUUUUUGCAAGCAAUUACUUUGAUUUCUUUUAUUCAUUUUAUGAAGUUGUGAUUAUUAGAAUUUGGGAUAGGGCUUGUAAUAAGGUUUGGACUGUCAAAUUUGGAAUAACAUUGCACAUUUGAAAGCUGUCUUUUUCUACACAAACAUGCCGACAUACACAUACACACCAUGAUCUUUCGAGUAACAUUCAUUUUGUAAUCUAUGACAUGUUGCUGAAAUUACUUUCAUAUUAUGUUGAAUUUGAUUAAUAUUUGAUAUGUGUUAUUUUUUUUUUAAUUUUUCAAGAUAUGGAUCCACAUGAUGUUGAUGUUGAGGAUAAGGCCGAUUGGUACAAGAGAUGGAAUUAAAAAACAAGUGUCGCAGAGAUGAAUGCUACAAGAGAUGGAAUUGCAGCUUUUAUGUGGCAUGAUUAUAUACGUAAUGCAUAAUGUGUAUCAUGUAGUUUUUUUAUAAUUAUUUUGUUUAAAUCAUGUGUUGUAAUAUAUAUCUUAAUUAUAUGGUGUAAAAACAAUGACAAUGUCAAACUUUUUUUUAAUUAAUGUUAAUUCUUAAACUUUAUUAUCA
rnacentral:lncRNA from 1 species